rnacentral:rRNA from 1 species
GGUUAAGCGACUAAGCGUACACGGUGGAUGCCCUGGCAGUCAGAGGCGAUGAAGGACGUGCUAAUCUGCGAAAAGCGUCGGUAAGGUGAUAUGAACCGUUAUAACCGGCGAUGUCCGAAUGGGGAAACCCAGUGCAAUUCGUUGCACUAUCGUUAACUGAAUACAUAGGUUAACGAGGCGAACCGGGGGAACUGAAACAUCUAAGUACCCCGAGGAAAAGAAAUCAACCGAGAUUCCCCCAGUAGCGGCGAGCGAACGGGGAGCAGCCCAGAGUCUGAAUCAGCUUGUGUGUUAGUGGAACGGUCUGGAAAGUCCGACGGUACAGGGUGAUAGUCCCGUACACCAAAAUGCACAGGCUGUGAACUCGAAGAGUAGGGCGGGACACGUGGUAUCCUGUCUGAAUAUGGGGGGACCAUCCUCCAAGGCUAAAUACUCCUGACUGACCGAUAGUGAACCAGUACCGUGAGGGAAAGGCGAAAAGAACCCCGGCGAGGGGAGUGAAAAAGAACCUGAAACCGUGUACGUACAAGCAGUGGGAGCACCUUCGGGUGUGACUGCGUACCUUUUGUAUAAUGGGUCAGCGACUUAUAUUCUGUAGCAAGGUUAACCGUAUAGGGGAGCCGCAGGGAAACCGAGUCUUAACUGGGCGUUAAGUUGCAGGGUAUAGACCCGAAACCCGGUGAUCUAGCCAUGGGCAGGUUGAAGGUUGGGUAACACUAACUGGAGGACCGAACCGACUAAUGUUGAAAAAUUAGCGGAUGACUUGUGGCUGGGGGUGAAAGGCCAAUCAAACCGGGAGAUAGCUGGUUCUCCCCGAAAGCUAUUUAGGUAGCGCCUCGUGAAUUCAUCUUCGGGGGUAGAGCACUGUUUCGGCUAGGGGGUCAUCCCGACUUACCAACCCGAUGCAAACUACGAAUACCGAAGAAUGUUAUCACGGGAGACACACGGCGGGUGCUAACGUCCGUCGUGAAGAGGGAAACAACCCAGACCGCCAGCUAAGGUCCCAAAGUCAUGGUUAAGUGGGAAACGAUGUGGGAAGGCACAGACAGCCAGGAUGUUGGCUUAGAAGCAGCCAUCAUUUAAAGAAAGCGUAAUAGCUCACUGGUCGAGUCGGCCUGCGCGGAAGAUGUAACGGGGCUAAACCAUGCACCGAAGCUGCGGCAGCGACACUAUGUGUUGUUGGGUAGGGGAGCGUUCUGUAAGCCUGCGAAGGUGACCUGUGAGGGUUGCUGGAGGUAUCAGAAGUGCGAAUGCUGACAUAAGUAACGAUAAAGCGGGUGAAAAGCCCGCUCGCCGGAAGACCAAGGGUUCCUGUCCAACGUUAAUCGGGGCAGGGUGAGUCGACCCCUAAGGCGAGGCCGAAAGGCGUAGUCGAUGGGAAACAGGUUAAUAUUCCUGUACUUGGUGUUACUGCGAAGGGGGGACGGAGAAGGCUAUGUUAGCCGGGCGACGGUUGUCCCGGUUUAAGCAUGUAGGCUGGUUAUCCAGGCAAAUCCGGAUAAUCAAGGCUGAGGUGUGAUGACGAGGCACUACGGUGCUGAAGUAACAAAUGCCCUGCUUCCAGGAAAAGCCUCUAAGCAUCAGGUAACAUCAAAUCGUACCCCAAACCGACACAGGUGGUCAGGUAGAGAAUACCAAGGCGCUUGAGAGAACUCGGGUGAAGGAACUAGGCAAAAUGGUGCCGUAACUUCGGGAGAAGGCACGCUGGUGUGUAGGUGAAGCCCCUGCGGGUGGAGCUGAGACCAGUCGAAGAUACCAGCUGGCUGCAACUGUUUAUUAAAAACACAGCACUGUGCAAACACGAAAGUGGACGUAUACGGUGUGACGCCUGCCCGGUGCCGGAAGGUUAAUUGAUGGGGUUAUCCGUAAGGAGAAGCUCUUGAUCGAAGCCCCGGUAAACGGCGGCCGUAACUAUAACGGUCCUAAGGUAGCGAAAUUCCUUGUCGGGUAAGUUCCGACCUGCACGAAUGGCGUAAUGAUGGCCAGGCUGUCUCCACCCGAGACUCAGUGAAAUUGAACUCGCUGUGAAGAUGCAGUGUACCCGCGGCAAGACGGAAAGACCCCGUGAACCUUUACUAUAGCUUGACACUGAACAUUGAGCCUUGAUGUGUAGGAUAGGUGGGAGGCUUUGAAGCGUGGACGCCAGUCUGCGUGGAGCCAACCUUGAAAUACCACCCUUUAAUGUUUGAUGUUCUAACGUUGGCCCCUUAUCGGGGUUGCGGACAGUGUCUGGUGGGUAGUUUGACUGGGGCGGUCUCCUCCCAAAGCGUAACGGAGGAGCACGAAGGUUAGCUAAUCCUGGUCGGACAUCAGGAGGUUAGUGCAAUGGCAUAAGCUAGCUUGACUGCGAGCGUGACGGCGCGAGCAGGUGCGAAAGCAGGUCAUAGUGAUCCGGUGGUUCUGAAUGGAAGGGCCAUCGCUCAACGGAUAAAAGGUACUCCGGGGAUAACAGGCUGAUACCGCCCAAGAGUUCAUAUCGACGGCGGUGUUUGGCACCUCGAUGUCGGCUCAUCACAUCCUGGGGCUGAAGUAGGUCCCAAGGGUAUGGCUGUUCGCCAUUUAAAGUGGUACGCGAGCUGGGUUUAGAACGUCGUGAGACAGUUCGGUCCCUAUCUGCCGUGGGCGCUGGAGAAUUGAGGGGGGCUGCUCCUAGUACGAGAGGACCGGAGUGGACGCAUCACUGGUGUUCGGGUUGUCAUGCCAAUGGCACUGCCCGGUAGCUAAAUGCGGAAGAGAUAAGUGCUGAAAGCAUCUAAGCACGAAACUUGCCCCGAGAUGAGUUCUCCCUGAGACUUUAAGUCUCCUGAAGGAACGUUAAAGACGAUGACGUUGAUAGGCCGGGUGUGUAAGCGCAGCGAUGCGUUGAGCUAACCGGUACUAAUGAACCGUGAGGCUUAACCUU